rnacentral:rRNA from 1 species
AGCGAACGCUGGCGGCGUGCCUAACACAUGCAAGUCGAACGUGAAAAGGGAGCAAUCCCAAGUAAAGUGGCGUACGGGUGAGUAACGCGUAGGUAAUCUACCCUAGAAUUCGGAAUAACCGGCCGAAAGGCUGGCUAAUACUGGAUAGAGCGACGGAAUCCGUAAUUGGGUUUUCGGAAAGGGAGCUCGCAAGAGCCUUUCGUUCUAGGAUGAGCCUGCGUCUCAUUAGCUAGUUGGUGGGAAUGGCCCACCAAGGCUUUGAUGGGUAGCUGGUCUGAG